AUUGAACGCUGGCGGCAGGCCUAACACAUGCAAGUCGAACGAGUGGCGGACGGGUGAGUAAUGUCUGGGAAACUGCCUGAUGGAGGGGGAUAACUACUGGAAACGGUAGCUAAUACCGCAUACCAUCGGAUGUGCCCAGAUGGGAUUAGCUAGUAGGUGGGGUAACGGCUCACCUAGGCGACGAUCCCUAGCUGGUCUGAGAGGAUGACCAGCCACACUGGAACGGCGACACGGUCCAGACUCCUACGGUAGGCAGCAGUGGGGAAUAUUGCACAAUGGGCGCAAGCCUGAUGCAGCCAGGCCGCGUGUAUGAAGAAGGCCGUCGGGUUGUAAAGUACUUUCAGCGGAGAGGCGUUACCCGCAGAAGAAGCACCGGCUAACUCCGUGCCAGCAGCCGCGGUAAUUC
rnacentral:rRNA from 1 species